UAAUACGUAGGAGGCGAGCGUUGUCCGGAGUUACUGGGCGUAAAGCGCACGCAGGCGGUCUCUCGCGUUGCCACUGACAGUUUCUAGCUUAACUAGAAAAGGCGUGGCAAGACGGAGAGACUUGAGGGCUUCAGAGGAAGAGAGAAUUCCGGGUGGAGUGGUGAAAUGCGUAGAGAUCCGGAGGAAUACCAAAGGCGAAGGCACUCUUCUGGGAAGUUCCUGACGCUCAUGUGCGAAAGCCAGGGGAGCGAACGGGAUUAGAUACCCCGGUAGUCCUGGCCGUAAACGAUGACCACUAGGUAUACGAGGUAUCGACCCCUUGUGUGCCGUAGCUAACGCAUUAAGUGGUCCGCCUGGGGAGUACGGUCGCAAGAUUA
rnacentral:rRNA from 1 species